AGUAGCCGCGGGAAUACGGAGGGUGCAAGCGUUAAUCGGAAUUACUGGGCGUAAAGCGCACGCAGGCGGUCUGUCAAGUCAGAUGUGAAAUCCCCGGGCUUAACCUGGGAACUGCAUUUGAAACUGGCAGGCUAGAGUCUUGUAGAGGGGGGUAGAAUUCCAGGUGUAGCGGUGAAAUGCGUAGAGAUCUGGAGGAAUACCGGUGGCGAAGGCGGCCCCCUGGACAAAGACUGACGCUCAGGUGCGAAAGCGUGGGGAGCAAACAGGAUUAGAUACCCGCGUAGUCCCUGUCUCUUAUACA
rnacentral:rRNA from 1 species